CAACCAAAGAACACUGUCUUUGAACAGAUGAUGAAUUAGUGGUUUAUUCCCAUUCUGGGAUUGGAUGUAAGAGUGAUUUCUAAUGGAAACAAGUAGAUUUGUCCCUUUGGUAAAUAAUAUCUUUUUUUCUAAGCCAAAUGGCAGUCUUUGGAAAUAAGUCCUCAUACAAAUUUGAGUUCAUUUUUAUAUUUUUGAGUCCUUUAGUACUUUUCAAACACUAGGAAUUAUGAAUAGAAGGAAAAGAAAAAUGAAUGUUAUAAUUCCAGUAAAUACCAGCAAGGUGAAUAAACAAAGCAGGUGCUAAGAAGAUAUCAUGGUAUCCUCUGCUAAAGGACCGCACGCUCCAAUCAGAGAAACAGAGGAUACUGAAGAAGUGUGAGUGCCAAAGCUGGUUGGAUCUUAUAUCAUGUGUGCAGCAUCCUGAAGUGAGUAGUUGGGAUAUAAGAAGACCGGCACUUGAUUGAACUGGAGAAGAGUCUACAGGCCAAGCUAUGGCAGCUAUCUUCAGAUGGUGGCCUUUCCAAACCUUUGUAAGCAGAACCUGAUAAAUUCAUCAGAGGGUCAUAGCUUCAGUUAUUUCUCCAGAUGUUGGCUGUGACUAAGUCGAACAGUCUUUAUGCCAAGUCUUCAAUCAAGAAAUGAUUCCUCUUUUUCUGAAGAACUAUCUUAUAGUAUCAAAUGAAUACUUUUUUCCCUCUCCCCACUCCCAUCUCUGCCCCUUUGUGAGUAUCCUAGCAAAAGGAUGACUGCUGGAUUUUCACUGGAGUGGACUUAGUUGUUUGACUAUUUUUUUAGGAGCAGCUCUAGGACCUAACUUUCUAAAAUACGGAGGACAUGGGGUGCAGAGGAUAGAACCAUCAGGAAGAAGUGAAAAUAGAGAUCUUUGCCUGGAGGAAUAAACGAAUAUGCCUUACUAUCAAAAGAGGCCCAUUUUGAAAAAAGAGAACAUCAGAAAAUACAGUCAAGAGUGCUUUAUCCAAGUUUAUAAAGGAGAGAGAAGUAUGACUGAACUACUAAAAGAACUGGUGUGAUGAAGAUGACUAGAUCUGGAAGUCUGAGUAGCCUGGAUUCAAAUCCUGUCUCUGACACAGACCAGCUCUAUGACC